GCUAUAGGUCUGGGAAAUCUUCUGUGAAGGAAAGUGCAUCAUUCCUCUCCACACAUAUGAUAUAAUCACACAAACACAAAGGAAAAGUCCUGCAACAGGAAUAGAAAAGGAGUAACUACAGGACACAGAAGAUAACUGUUGGUGGAAAAUAAGUGCAAGCAUGGAGAAGAAUGUGGGAAUCCCAAAAAUAUCCUACAGCGGUGUUGGGAGAGAAAUCUGUGCUGAAUCCUCAAGGAAGCCCUCUCUCAGAUCUUUGAUUGUCAUCCACAUCUGUCUUUGGUGAACACAGGUCCUUCUGCACUUACUGGGUGAUGCUGUUUCUCUGCUGGAUCACAGUCAAGGAGAGCAGAUGCAAAGACCCUCUUAUGACUGCUGCCCAGUGAAGGCUAUGUCUUUCCUCAGGACUGAAAUUAAUGCAAAGACACAUAGGAGCUUCAUGAUACAGCCAACAGUAGAGCGUGAGACACUGGUAUGGAGCUGGACACAGGACUGGAUUCACUGAAGGGCUGGAGACUGAUUAUUAACUACUCUGUGACCUUGGGGCUCAGUGCACAGAGCUAGC
rnacentral:lncRNA from 1 species